rnacentral:rRNA from 1 species
AUUGAACGCUGGCGGCAGGCCUAACACAUGCAAGUCGAACGAGUGGCGGACGGGUGAGUAAUGUCUGGGAAACUGCCUGAUGGCGGGGGAUAACUACUGGAAACGGUAGCUAAUACCGCAUACCAUCAGAUGUGCCCAGAUGGGAUUGGUUUGUUGGUGGGGUUACGGCUCACCAAGGCGACGAUCCCUAGCUGGUCUGAGAGGAUGACCAGCCACACUGGAACUGAGACACGGUCCAGACUCCUACGGGAGGCAGCAGUAGGGAAUAUUGCACAAUGGGCGCAAGCCUGAUGCAGCCAUGCCGCGUGUGUGAAGAAGGCCUUCGGGUUGUAAAGUACUGUCAGCGGGGAAGCGUUACCCACAGAGGAAGCACCGGCUAACUCCGUGCCAGCAGCCGCGGUAAUAC